GUACUUACCUGGCAGGGGGAUACCAUGAUCACAAAAGUGGUUUUCCCAGGGUGAGCCUUAUCCAUUGCACGCCAGAUGUGUUGACUGCUGCGAUUUCCCCAAAUGGGGAAACUUGACUGCAUAAUUUGUGGUAGUGGGGGAAAUACAGUCACGCUCUCCCCUG
rnacentral:snRNA from 1 species